rnacentral:rRNA from 1 species
UACGUAGGGUGCGAGCGUUAAUCGGAAUUACUGGACGUAAAGCGUGCGCAGGCGGUUCGUUGUGUCGGUGGUGAAAGCCCGGGGCUCAACUCCGGAAUUGCCUUUAAAACUGCAUCGCUAGAAUUGUGGAGAGGUAAGUGGAAUUCCGAGUGUAGAGGUGAAAUUCGUAGAUAUUGGGAAGAACACCGGUGGCGAAGGCGGCUCACUGGCUCAUUACUGACGCUCAGGCGCGAUAGCGUGGGGAUCAAACAGG